UGUACCAGUUGUCUUGCCAAAGGCAUAGCUGGGUAGCUACGUGCGGACGGGAUAAGUGCUGAAAGCAUCUAAGCAUGAAGCCCCCCUCAAGAUGAGAUUUCCUUUUGCUUCGGCAAGUAAGAUCCCUGAAAGAUGAUCAGGUAGAUAGGUUCGAGGUGGAAGCGUGGCGACACGUGCAGCUGACGAAUACUAAUCGAUCGAGGACUUAACCCAAUAA
rnacentral:rRNA from 1 species